UUUACACGAUAAUUCGGGUGUGUCUGGACCUCUGCGAACUCCGCGGUGGAGGCUCUGCCGAACCCGUGAGACAGACUCACCAAACCCCUAGGGUUCUAGGGUUCGAUCGAACCCAGGUUAAGAACCACUGCCUUAGAGUCAGGUGUCCAUGUCUCUGGAGAACGCUGUAAAACUUGUCAGUGAGUCAGUGAAGCUCAAUUCUGACCAAAGACAGCGAUACUGAGCGAGCAUCAGCUGAGACAACACUGCACUCAGUCAGCAGCAACCCACAAACCAGCUGCUACAAUCAGCAACCGUGCAAGAGCUAAGAGACGCAGGAUCCUCAACAAUAAAAGAAAUGAAAACUCUAAAUGAGGAACACAGCUCUCUCAAAGAAAAGAUCGCUAUCCAAGAAGAUGGGCAUGAAACAAAGGUAAGACAGCUCCAUAACAACCUCACACAAAAAGACGAGGUCAGCGAAAAAUCUGUGAAAAACCAACACCUCGGAUGAAAGCGCACGCUGGCCUCCUCCACUGCGAGAAAAGAAGUAGAAUGGAACGGCGCCUGAGCUGCUCUUAGAUAACGUUGCUCGGCAGGAGGAAUCCUGCAUAACCAAAGUCCGGCAGGAGGAGAACGAGAGAAACGUUCUUUCUGAGAAUUUCUGGAUGAAGGGAAUCAGUGGGAUGGAGCAAGAGAGGCAGAAAAAGACAAAACUCCUCAUCAGCAGGAUCCAACAGCUUCAGCUUGCACUUUAGAAAAGGAACAGGAAGAGGUCGUGGCACAAAAAUCAGAAAGCUUAAAAGGUGGAGAAAAAGAAGGAGGGAGGAGAGGAGGAAAAGAAAGGAAGGAAAAGACUUGGAGGAGAUGGAGGGAAGAGGAAACUGCAGAGGAAAGACAACGAAAGAAGGAGGAGUGAGGAGAAAGAAACUUUGAUUCCUACCAUUUCCCCUCUCCACCUUCCUCUCCCCUAACUCAUCCCUCUCAGAAACUGCCUCUACCCUCCAGCCCCAGCUCUCCCUCUCCCAUACCUCCACCACAUCCAGGAAACUGUGUGAAGGAUUCAGGAGACAAACCAGAAUCCUACACCUCUGAUUGUAUCCCCAUCACACCUUGAUCCUUUACCCCCCUUUUUCCUUACACAAUACCCUUUACUAGCCUCAUUCCCUCCAUUUUGCUUCACUGUUUCACUGUAAACAGUUA